rnacentral:rRNA from 1 species
UACAGAGGAGCCAAGCGUUGUCCGGAUUGACUGGGCGUAAAGCGCACGCAGGCGGUCGCGCGCGUGGGGUGUGAAAUCUGGCCGCUUAACGGCCAGGCGCCAUCCCAUACGGCGCGACUGGAGUGAGUGCAGAGGUCGGUGGAAUUGCCGGUGUAGUGGUGAAAUGCGUAGAGAUCGGGAGGAACACCUGUGGCGAAGGCGGCCGACUGGGCCGACCCUGACGCUGAGGCGCGAAGGCGUGGGGAGCGAACGGG